AUCUUUUAACCUUUAUUACAUGGUUCAAAUCUGCUACACCCAUAAAGGUGCACAAAUGAGCAUAAUUGCGCUCAUUGGCACUCCUUAUUGUACCAACCCCUAAGGUUCAAAUUUGAACCUUCUUAGUGUUUUCAUCAAACCAUUUCAAGGUUGAAUGACUAGACCUUAUUUGCCUUUGAUUAGUAUUCUCAAUGCACUCAUGGAUAGAAUUCAUUUUUACACAGUUCUGAAAAUAGCCAGUGAAACUGUCCCAACACCCCUGUCAAAUAUAUUUGACAAAAUCUGUAAUGAUUAAAAUAUUUUUUUUAAAGAAGGAACUUCAGUUGUUUAUUCAAAAUGUAAAUAUGAAUUCAUUCUCAUAUGUCACUAUUAAAAAUUUUGUAUUCACUUUCCUAACAGUUGAACCACACAAAUGGUGAGAAGAGGUAGAAAUAAAGAGGGGGAUUGCAACUGGAAGGAGAUGGAAGUCCAGACACUCUGCCACUGUGUGCCAUUGAACAAGAAAUCUCUUUUAGUAUGAAGAUUAUUCAAGAGUCAAGACUGUUGAAGACGUGACGACAUGGACCUGGUUGCACAUGGCAAGGGAACUAUCUGGUUGUACCCUGAAGUAUUCGCUUUAAGAUUUGAAAAUUAGCAAAAGUACUAAUUUUCAUAUUUUCAGAGAUAAUAAUUAUCAUUAUAUUGACAUUGUGGAUAUCUUUUUAUGAUUGUUAUCAUAAAAUUAUUAUAAUGUUAAUGAUGAUAGGUCAUAAUAAUACAAAUGAAUUAUAAGUAGAAAAAAAGACAACCAAAAAUGAGGAGGAAAAGAAGAAGAUGAAGAAGAAAAAGAAGAGGAGGGGUGGAAGAGGAGAAAAGGAGAAGAAUAAAUAACAUCACUGUGAGUUCCUCUUCAUGAUAUUACAUAAAUAUUUGUCUCUUUUAAAUGAAAAUAUUUAUUAAGCAUAAAAAUAGGAUUUAGUUAUUCUUGUUUUUUAAGAUGUAUUAUUAUGUAUCAUGUUUGUAGUUGUACACUUGAUUGAGGUACAUGUAUUGUAUUCAUUUAGGAUAUAAAUAAUAUGUUUUAUUUGAAUCCAUGUACUGUACCUCUUUAAAGGACAAGUCCACCCCAACAAAAAGUUGAUUUGAAUAAAAAGAGAAAAAUCCAACAAGCAUAACACUGAAAAUUUCAUCAAAAUCGGAUGUAAAAUAAGAAAGUAAUGACAUUUUAAAGUUUUGCUUAAUUUCACAAAACAUUUAUAUGCACAUUCUGGUGGGUAUGCAAAUGAGGUGACUGAUGACGUCAUCCACUCACUAUUUCUUUGGUAUUUUAUAAUAUGAAAUAUGGAAUAUUCAAUUUUUCUCCUCAUUGUCAAGUGAAAGAACGAUUAAUUCCUCCCUGAACAUGUGGAAUGAGCAUUGUUUAAUACUAUAUGAUCAGUCAAGUUGUUCCUUAUUGUCAAAUCUAUGAAAAAAGAAGAAAUAUAGUAUAAUUCAAACAAUCAAAAACAAAAGAAAUAGUGAGUUAGGGACAUCAUCGACUGUCUCGUUUGAGUUGUGCAUACAAUGUUUUGUGAAAAAUAGCAAAACUUUAAAAUGUCAUAACUUUCUUAUUUUACAUCCGAUUUUGAUGAAAUUUUCAGCGUUUUGCUAGUUUGAUUUUUCUCUUUUUAUUUAAAUCAACAUUUUCUGGGGUGGAUUUGACCUUUGAAUCAUAUUUAUACAGUCAUGAUUAAAGGACAUGGGACAGGUAACAAGA